rnacentral:rRNA from 1 species
UCUGGUUGAUUCUGCCAGUAGUCAUAUGCUUGUCUCAAAGAUUAAGCCAUGCAUGUCUAAGUAUAAGCACUUUAUACUGUGAAACUGCGAAUGGCUCAUUAAAUCAGUUAUCGUUUAUUUGAUAGUACCUUACUACAUGGAUACCUGUGGUAAUUCUAGAGCUAAUACAUGCUGAAAACCUCGACUUCGGAAGGGGUGUAUUUAUUAGAUAAAAAACCAAUGCCCUUCGGGGCUCCUUGGUGAAUCAUAAUAACUUAACGAAUCGCAUGGCCUUGCGCCGGCGAUGGUUCAUUCAAAUUUCUGCCCUAUCAACUUUCGAUGGUAGGAUAGUGGCCUACCAUGGUGGCAACGGGUAACGGGGAAUUAGGGUUCGAUUCCGGAGAGGGAGCCUGAGAAACGGCUACCACAUCCAAGGAAGGCAGCAGGCGCGCAAAUUACCCAAUCCCGACACGGGGAGGUAGUGACAAUAAAUACUGAUACGGGGCUCUUUUGGGUCUCGUAAUUGGAAUGAGUACAAUCUAAAUCCCUUAACGAGGAACAAUUGGAGGGCAAGUCUGGUGCCAGCAGCCGCGGUAAUUCCAGCUCCAAUAGCGUAUAUUAAAGUUGUUGCAGUUAAAAAGCUCGUAGUUGAACCUUGGGUCUGGCUGGCCGGUCCGCCUCACCGCGAGUACUGGUCCGGCUGGACCUUUCCUUCUGGGGAAUCUCAUGGCCUUCACUGGCUGUGGGGGGAACCAGGACUUUUACUGUGAAAAAAUUAGAGUGUUCAAAGCAGGCCUUUGCUCGAAUACAUUAGCAUGGAAUAAUAGAAUAGGACGUGCGGUUCUAUUUUGUUGGUUUCUAGGACCGCCGUAAUGAUUAAUAGGGAUAGUCGGGGGCGUCAGUAUUCAGCUGUCAGAGGUGAAAUUCUUGGAUUUGCUGAAGACUAACUACUGCGAAAGCAUUCGCCAAGAUUUCAUUAAUCAUUACGGCGGUCCUAGAAACCAACAAAAUAGAACGCACGUCCUAUUCUAUUAUUCCAUGCUAAUGUAUUCGAGCAAAGGCCUGCUUUGAACACUCUAAUUUUUUCACAGUAAAAGUCCUGGUUCCCCCCACAGCCAGUGAAGGCCAUGAGAUUCCCCAGAAGGAAAGGUCCAGCCGGACCAGUACUCGCGGUGAGGCGGACCGGCCAGCCAGACCCAAGGUUCAACUACGAGCUUUUUAACUGCAACAACUUUAAUAUACGCUAUUGGAGCUGGAAUUACCGCGGCUGCUGGCACC